rnacentral:rRNA from 1 species
GAUGAACGCUGGCGGCGUGCCUAAUACAUGCAAGUCGAGCGAACAGACGAGGAGCUUGCUCCUCUGACGUUAGCGGCGGACGGGUGAGUAACACGUGGAUAACCUACCUAUAAGACUGGGAUAACUUCGGGAAACCGGAGCUAAUGCCGGAUAAUAUAUUGAACCGCAUGGUUCAAUAGUGAAAGACGGUUUUGCUGUCACUUAUAGAUGGAUCCGCGCCGCAUUAACUAGUUGGUAAGGUAACGGCUUACCAAGGCAACGAUGCGUAGCCGACCUGAGAGGGUGAUCGGCCACACUGGAACUGAGACACGGUCCAGACUCCUACGGGAGGCAGCAGUAGGGAAUCUUCCGCAAUGGGCGAAAGCCUGACGGAGCAACGCCGCGUGAGUGAUGAAGGUCUUCGGAUCGUAAAACUCUGUUAUUAGGGAAGAACAAAUGUGUAAGUAACUAUGCACGUCUUGACGGUACCUAAUCAGAAAGCCACGGCUAACUACGUG